GAAAAGACCAUCUCAGUCGGAUUGUAGUCUGCAACCCGACUACAUGAAGCUGGAAUCGCUAGUAAUCGCAGAUCAGAAUGCUGCGGUGAAUACGUUCCCGGGUCUUGUACACACCGCCCGUCACACCAUGGGAGUUGGAAAUGCCCGAAGCCAGUGACCCCAACCGUAAGGAGGGAGCUGUCGAAGGUGGAGCCGAUGACUGGGGUGAAGUCGUAACAAGGUAUC
rnacentral:rRNA from 1 species